AUUGCUGCAAAGUCAACGCCAGUGACUGUCCAAUGUCGCUACAUGCUCAUCCAGGAGAAGCGAAUGCUGCAAGGGUUGAUGUUUUUGUAAAUGUUGUUUAUUGCAUAUUCCUUUUAGUUACCCGAUUUUUUUGUUUGUUUUUUGCCUCACUUUCAGGGCUGUUUCAACACAAGAUCACUUUUUUUUGAGACCAUCUAUUGAUUAAAAUGCAUAAGAAAAUAACAGUUCUAACACUUCCUUAAAACUCACUGCAUAUUUUACACUUGUGAUUUGAACAGCUCAUCAAAACACUGAUAGAAACAGCUCAGGGUUUUAUGUUCACACAAGGUCAAACGCAAAGCCCGAUGUGCUCAAUUCUUAGUGUCAGGAUCUGGGUUGUGUUUGUGUUUUUGUGCUUGCUACAUGUGCUCGUUUUCAGACGGCGCUGGAGCUCUCAGGUGUGCUGGGUGACAGGUGCGACUUAUUCCACUGAUUACUCUGAGCAGUACUUAAGCAGGAGGUUGCCAGCACUUCGAUGCCAGAGUGUUUUGCCACCAGUGGUACAAACACUAAGUUUAUGCUUCGUUCUUUGACCUCGUGUAACUAUGUCUUUGCUCCUUUUGCAGAUUUUGAAAGCUUAAGUUUUGGAUCUAGAUCAAUGUGUACUGACUAUGUCUCCGGACGUUACUCUGAAUGAUCAAGACUAUCUACGCCCUGUGGAUUUCAUAUCCUAUCUCCUGUCUUUGUUUGGAUUCGCAUCAAGCUGGCAGUUUCCUGCUCCCGCCGUCUCCUGGACCAAGCCGUGUAACCGUACCCUGUCCACCCCCCAACGUAAGCAUCUGAACACCGGACUCACUCCUGUCCACUCCGAGCUCACACAGAUCAGCACCCAGGAAACCUUCUACGGACUCACCUUCGUUAAACCUGGAUCCUGAAUCUCUCUACCCCUGGCGUCCUGACCACAGCUACCUAUGAGAUUUUCGACCACUACGUUCCUGAUUAUCAUCUUCCAAUAAACAAUCUCUUACUCAUUCUA